rnacentral:lncRNA from 1 species
GAAUAAACAGCUUUUCUGCAUAUUGAUGUAGAAAACCACAGAUUAAGAUCAUCUACAUUGCAUUGUAUUUUUAUGUAUUUGGUUCAACAUUUUCCAUUUAUAUUUUAAUGUAGGUAUUCACUGGACAGAAUUUAAUUCUUCUGGACUAGCAGAUAUCUGAGUUCACAGGCCCCCCGAGGACUAAGUAGACCCCAGGUACAGAAUUCCUGGACCACCUAUUCCUGAAUGAAGGUGGGGAGAGAUCGUUAUGGCUUACUCUUCAUGACAAGCUGGGUUCAAUAGGGAUGAGACAGAAAAGAGAAAGAGAAAGCACUCUGUCCUCAGAUACUAUGGGAGGGGACUCCUCUUCCAGGCAAUAAAAUUAUUCCUCUCCAGCAUCCCCGUUAGCCAUGA